rnacentral:rRNA from 1 species
CACGUAGGCACCAAGCGUUGUCCGGAUUUAUUGGGCGUAAAGAGCUCGUAGGCGGUUCGGUAAGUCGGGUGUGAAAACUCUGGGCUCAACCCAGAGCCGCCCACCCGAUACUGCUGUGACUUGAGUUCGGUAGGGGAGCGGGGAAUUCCUGGUGUAGCGGUGGAAAUGCGCAGAUAUCAGGAGGAACACCGGUGGCGAAGGCGGGGAUCCUGGCC